rnacentral:lncRNA from 1 species
ACCUGAGCGGCCCGGGUGCCGCAGCAGGGCGCUGACGAGUCCCGCCGAGCCCCGCCGCCCGGGUUCAAGGCCGCCUUCACGCCCACGAUUCCUUGUUUUUUGGGCAGAGGUCAAGGCUCAACGGAGAGGGAGCCCGGGACCGAGUUGUGGUGGGAGUUUGCUCCUAACACCCGCGAAAUCCUACCUCAAUUCCUCAGAUGGCCUGAGGGAGAAACCGGAGGGCCCGGGAAUGGCGGGGAGCUCCAGUUCAGAGCCGGAACUCCGGACUUCUGCAAGGCCAGACGUGAGGCGACACUGAAUUGCUCCCGAGACGCGGGAAGGGCGAAGGCAAUCGAAGCGAAGAGCUUUAACUCAUCUUCUCCAGGAUUUGGGGCACGGGAACCUGUCUCCUGACCUUCGUGCCUUACCUCGGAGUGUGCUGCCCAGACGGACUUGUGAAUAGCUGCGUCUGUCCCCAUAGUUAACGGGAGAAGGAAACACCAGGAGAAAAGAAGGAAAAGACAGGAAACGGGAAGAGGAGCAGAGGCGAGGAAGGGGAAGGUCAUUUCCUUGGCAGGGUAGGCCCUCUUUCUUCUAGGUCUUGAGUUCCUGCCAGGCAAGAAAUGCUCUUUCCCCUCUCCUGAUGAACACCAGGUUGGAGGGGGAGGAACUGAAGAUGCGGGAAGACUUGGGGAGUUCGGGCAAAGUAGCACAUUCAAGCAUGAUCUAUUUUUAUUUACGGACAGAAAGAAAUAUUAGUUCUGUUAGGUUCCACCGAGUAAACUAUUUGUUGAGAGAGCAAGAUUUGCCAAUCCUGGGGGUAUUAAGGAAAGAAAAGGUGGUCCCUGACCUAUGGGAUACAUGAUUCUAGUAUGAAUACGUAAUUACAGGAUGAAUAAUGAAGCCCACCGCUUAUGCAGUACUGACUGUGUGCUUUGCCUGUGCUGACACCUAUGUUAACGCAUUUAAUUAUCAACACAAUCUCUGGAGUGUGGGUAGCCUUACCCCAAUUUUACAGGUGAGACCUGCAGCACAGAUUGCUUAUGUGGCUUGCUGUAGGUCAGGCAGCUGUCAAGCAGCAGACUCCAAAAUCUGGGCCCUUAACUGAGCUGCCUCUACCAUGCUGCCUCUAGAAAAUCUAUGGAAGAAGGGUUGUAUUAAAAGGACAGUGUAACGUCUUGAAUUGUAUAGAUUAGAGUUCUUGUUAAGAUGACUAAUGUUAAAAGAGUGCAAGCAGAGGAGGAAUCGAAGUCAGGAGGGCUCACAGAGCUGAGGGGCCUGGGGUGUGAUGUAGACAUGCAUGCAGGGUUUGGGAGUCAGGCUGCCUGGGUUUGGAUCCAGCCUAGAUAAAGUACUCAGCUUUAUUGAGCUACAGAUUCCUCUUCUGUAAAAGAACGUCCACCUCAUAGGUAGCUUAAAAUUAAAUGUGAUAAUGAGUGUCAAGUGCUCUGCACUGUGCUUGAUACGUUUUAUGAAGUCAGUAAAGAUUAACCACUAAUUAAUUCUGAACUUUGCUUGAGAUUGUAGGCUCCUGUGGGAAGGACUCCAUCGCAUUGAUCACUGGGUUUUCCCGUGCCAUCCAUAGAACUUUGUGCUUAAUAAUGACUCAAUAAAUAUGAUUAGAUGGAUGGAUGUAAAAUAUGGACUUGGGAGAAAGAAAAAUUAGAAGAAUAAAAAAUAAAUGGAAUGAAUAAUGAAAUAAUAAUAGUCAUAUUAUUAUUUCACUCAGCGUUUGCAUGCCUUGUCACAUUACUUCUUAUUAACCUUACCUACAAAGAAGUAAAGUGAAUUGCUUGCUGCAAGUUUGAUGGGACUAAAAAGAAGGAAAGUGAGGCUUUGAGGCUUAGAGAGGUAAAGUAAUAAUUCACUUAAGGUUACAUAACUAAGUGUCAGUGCCUCCAUCUGGACUCAGAUCAGGUGACUCUAGAGCUCAUGUUCCUUAUCACUGUGUUUGCAGCAUAGCAUGAAGAAGGGGGUAAAGAAAGAAGCGUAUUCUUGGGCAAUUGAUUGAAGUUCUGUGUUAGCUAUAAUUUGUUUAAAAAUUCUUCACUUUAGGCAGAGGAGUCUCUGUGUGUGUGUGUGCAUGUGUGUGUGUGUGUGUGUGUGUGUGUGUAUACAUUAACUUUAAACCCUAGAAGUGGUUAGUUUUUAUUCGAAUACCAUAAUCAGUAAUUCAAAUCCCCAGCAUGGUAAAUUAGCAUUAAAGAAUUCCAAACUUUGGAGGCCACUGUAUCGAGUGUCACCAUCUAAAUCUGCUCUUGGCAAUAGGCCAAAUUGACUUGGUCAAGAGGCCACAGGUACAUCAGUAUUGUAAAAGGGGUUUGUUGACUUUGAAAGAGCAGGACAGAUAAAUUCAAAAGGCCUAAAUUCAAGAUCCAAUUCCAUUUGUAGUUGGCCCUUUAAUCUUUUGAAAUCACUUAUCACCACCUCUGGACCCUUCUUUCCUUAUAUGUAUAGUGGGGCUUUCAAAGAGCUAAUGUAGACCAAAUUCAAUGCUAUACGUUUAAACAGUAAGUAACACAAUACUAUAUAUAGAUCUAGGGAGUCCCACACCAUUGAUAAUCAAAAUGCCAUUAAGGGGGAUGCAGAAUAUACAUGUGGUAUAAUUCUAAGGUAUAAAAUUAGGGGAAUUACAUAUUAUCCACAUAUGUGUGUGUGUGUGUGUGUGUGUGUGUAUAUAUAUAUAUAUAUAUAAACAAUCUAGACAUAAACUGAAGAGUAGUUACUUUGAGAGCAGAAGAUUGGGGUCGUGGAGAGUGGGGAGGUCAGUGAGUAUGGAAGGAGACUUUGCUUUUACUGUACGACCCUCUGUAAUGUUUAAAAUUUUCAAACUUUAUAUCUUGAUCAUGUUUACAAUCGCUACAUUUUUAAUUUAAAAAGAUUGUUUCUAUCAGUGAAUCUUGCCAAGAAAAAGAGGUGGCGAUAGAGAAAAAGAGCAACAAAUCAAAAGAGAUUAUGAUUAUAUUGCAAUAAAGCUGUUUUUUAAAAAGAGGAUAUGGAUUUUAGAACAUUAGGAAACAUUGUCCUAAGCCAUAGAAACCACUGUUUAAAACCUGGGUACGACUACAUGGCAUUAAUGAGUCUAGUGCUGCUCAGAAGAGAGAAAUGCUAGAGGACCAGAUAUUUGUAUUAUUUUAAGAAAUGACUUCUAUUAUUUAGAAAAUUUAUUAUUUUAAAUUUAUACUUAUUUAAGUAUUAAAUAUUUAGGUAUAUCUGAAUUUAAAUAAAAUUCUCAAUUUCAUUCUGAAGAUGCACUUAAUAAUGAAGUCAGGUAGUGAAAGUCUGAUACCUUGUUUGGUGACUUCCUGCAACUCACCAUGGGGAAGGUUCCCCCACUCAGGACUUCAGGUGCAACCUGUGGUGUGCUAGGAAUCAUCUGCGCUGAGUGUAUUUAGCAGGAUGAGCACCAGGGUUCCAGCAGGCUCACAUUUCACUAUGUAAGCACCAAGUGAAUGGGGGGAUCCUUGAGGGGCCACACUUUGCCAGGAAGGUUCUUUCCAGAUUUAUCUUCCACUUUAACUGUCUUCAGGGGAUUUUUCAUCAAUAUCUGGUAGCCCCUCAGCGACUCUAGUUUGGAACACAUCUCAAGGUAGAUUCAACAUAUUACAUGAACUUGUCAGAUUGUAUGACAAGGAGAAGGAGUUAAUUAAGUGGAGAAAGGGUGGUGAGGUUCACAGAAAGAGGUCGGGGUAUCCGCAAGUAGGGGAAUUGGAACAGAAAUAGUCCAGUAUGGAUACAGCAGUGGUUCUCAAACUUCAGCAGGCCUAAGAAUCACCUGGAGGGCUCCUUAAAAGAGAGAUUGCUGAGUCCUAGACCCAGAGUUUGAGAUUUGUUAGAUUUGGGGUGGGGCUUGAGAAUUUGCAUCUCUAACAAGUUUGCAGGUGAUGCUGAUGCUGCUGGCCCAGGGACCAUGCUUUGAGAAUCACUGAGCUUAAAGAUUUGGGAAGAAGAUGGUGAGAAUUGAAUCUGGAGAGGAAGGCAGAUUGUAGGCCAAGUUAAGAAACCUGAAUUAUAUUCUAAGGGGCAUUGGGAAGCCACUGGAAGUAACAUGUUUUGGCAGGUGUUUUAGAAACAUUGCUACACAAUGAUGAGAGUGGAUUAUGGAGCAGGUGGAGCACUUACCCUUCCUGGAGGCUAGGAGAUAGUUAGAUGCCUUUCUGGGUGAGAUAUGUGAGGGUGAUUGGAGAAGGUGAGGAGAUUGUUUCUCAAAGUUCUUAGAAUUGUAUGGAUUUGAGAAAUGUUUAGGUGGAGGGACUGGCAAUUGUUUGGAUAUGAGCAAAGGGGUGGUGAGGGAGAGGGAGAAAUGAAAGGUGUCUAGGCUUGGAGAAUCUGCUAAAGAGGGCUGUAUUUAUGGAUAUGGGGACCAAGAAACAGAAGCAAUAUGAAUAGAAAAACAGGGAAUUCAUUUUUAAACAAUUUUUAGAGAAAUGGUCUCACUCUGCUGGCCAGGCUUGAGUGC